UCCUGUUCCUCGAUCGUCGUCGAUCCUCAGAAGAUCUCGAUCCUUCGCGAUCACUCAAAUGUUCCUUCACUUCAUCACUCUCUGCCAGGUCCGUUUCUCUGUUCAUCGCUCCCUGCUUCUCCGUUUCUCCUCUCUUCUCGUGUUCCUCAUCUUCUUUGCAGUUGAACUAAUCUACUAUGUGUUCUAACAACAACAACCGAGAGCUGAUUCGAUCUCUCCAUCAUUUUGGAUUUCGCUCUCGCUAUACACAAACAAUGAAACAACAGAACCAGGGAGAUCAAAGAAAGAAACAACCAUAACAUGAUAAUACCCUUAUCCCUUCAAAAACCCUAAGCCCCAAAUUUCACUAUUACUCAGAUUUACAGUUACAAGCAACAGCAAAAUAAAAAUAACGAUUCAGUCUGUGAGGGUACAAAAUUGCGGUGUGGGUUGUGUUGUUGUGUUCGAUUCCAACAAGAUGUUUCGGUUUCUGAGUGUUUUUGGCUGUUAGGCUGUUGUGAGUGCGUCUUUUACAGGUUUGGAGUGAUGGAUUUAUAGGUGGGUGAGUUAAGGUUGAGAGGUGGAGAAGUGUUUGGUUGCUGCUAUGUAAAGAGUUUGUUUGUUCGUGCGAGAAUCUGAGUAUUUGAGCUUGGUUAAAGAGUGAUUGAGAAGGGAUUUUGGCAGAGGUUUGAGUAUGAGAUUGUUGGAGUUUGCAAUGAGUUAUGGUAGGAUUUUCGUGGUGAAUUUUUGCAGGGCUUUGAGAGAAGUAGGCAGAGGUUUGAUGUUAGGGUUAUCACCAGGUUCGGAAGGAAAAGAAAUGGGGUGAAAUUAUUUCAGCACUAAAACUGGAAGGCAACAAUGCAAGGCUAUGUACUCAAGUUCAAAAUUUCUACAGAAAGCUUCUAUACAAGUUUGACAAACUUUACUUCUACAGGUUUCCUGCUUCUCAAACUGCAUUUAGCAGCACCAAAGGUUCAGCUAAAAGGAAACAAGGAUCAACAUCAAGUUUAUCCCAAAUAAUGGAUGAUGGAGAUUAUUCAACAGCAGCAGAGAUAUCCAAGGACUAUCCUAUCAAUGUGACAGCAUUGUCAGGGAUCCUUAUCUAGAAGAACAUUUAAAGCUACUCAUUGGCCAAGAAAAUAUUUCCAACCGGCAUCAGUACUAUUAUAAGGUAUCUCAGUCUGUUAGCUAUUUGUGUUUGAAAUUCGUAAUUAUUAUUUCUUUCAGUCUAUUGGCUUCAAGAUGGUUCUGACUUUGGUCUGAC